rnacentral:lncRNA from 1 species
AGCUGAAAAUUGGAUGAUGAUGAAGGGAAAAAUAACUUGAAGGCAAGGCAAGAAGGACCAGAAGAACAGGGCAAGCACGGUAGAGAAGGAGAGACCCACCGCAGCGGGGAAAGCCAAGGACAAGAAAUUAAGGCGUAGAGCUACCUACAGAAAAGUCAGCAUGCUGGGACAUGAAAGUACCGAAGAUGGCAAGGUUAUCCAGUAUCAUGGUAACAACUAAAGGUGAGAGUGCCGGAGAAGCCAGGCUGAACAUGUGACAUUCCUGGUUUGAUGUGACUGGCAACACGGACCAUAUCACCCAGUCCAUCUCCUUUCAUGACUUUUCUUGGCUACGUCUCCACAGACAGCCUAGAAACAGAGAGGAAGGCAAGGAAACGGCAUCGUCAGAAUGACCUGGGAGGGAUUAGGAGGCGAUUAUUGAUGAAGGCAUCCACGACACCAGGACAGGUCUGUGGAGAAUUUCCCAAGGUGCUCCAAGGCUACCUUCUCUGUCCGAAGAAGUGGAUGCAGCUGAACAACUGCUCCUCUACUUCUGCUGCCUCAGUUUUUCAGACACCCAACUGA